CGCGGGCAGCGACUUCUGCACCAGCCCAGCGGUGCCGAGGGAGCCGGCCGGGCGCUCGUCCCCGCAGCAGGUCAGAGCGAUGCCUGGGACAGGGAGGCCACAUUCUCAGGGCCGAAGGAAAAGGAGGUGACAGACGUUGAGACCGCGGAAGGGAACCCAUGGCUAGGAUCAGUUUUUCCUACCUCUGCCCAGCCUCCUGGUACUUCACAGUGCCCACGGUCAGCCCGUUUCCCCGGCAGCGAGUGGCGUUCCUGGGCCUCUUCUUCGUAUCCUGUGUCCUUCUCCUGAUGCUAAUGGUGGACUUUCGACAUCGGGCAGUGUCCUUACCACGAGACCGGCAAUACGAAAGGUAUUUGGCACGAGUAGGAGAUCUGGAAGCGACUGACACGGAAGAUCCAGAUCUGAAUUAUGGGCUUGUCGUGGACUGUGGCAGCAGCGGCUCCCGGAUUUUUGUCUAUUUCUGGCCAAGACAUAAUGGGAAUCCUCACGAUUUGCUGGACAUCAAACAGAUGAGAGACCGCAACAGCCAGCCAGUGGUGAAAAAAAUCAAGCCAGGAAUCUCCGCGAUGGCAGACACUCCCGAACAUGCCAGCGAUUACCUUCGACCUCUGCUGAGCUUUGCUGCUGCUCACGUGCCUGUGAAGAAGCACAAGGAGACCCCCCUUUACAUCCUGUGCACCGCAGGCAUGAGGCUCCUUCCUGAGAGGAAGCAGUUGGCCAUCCUGGCUGACCUCGUGAAAGACCUACCUCUGGAGUUCGACUUCCUCUUUUCCCAGUCUCAGGCCGAAGUGAUCUCUGGGAAGCAGGAAGGGGUUUAUGCAUGGAUUGGAAUCAACUUUGUUUUGGGAAGAUUCGACCAUGAAGACGAAUCAGAUACUGAAGUGCCCCAGGAAUUGGCCACCGGACGCAGAAGGACAGUAGGGAUCCUGGAUAUGGGAGGAGCCUCUCUCCAAAUUGCUUAUGAAGUUCCUACCUCAGCCUCUGACCUUUCUCCAAAACAGGAAGAAGCUGCCAAGAUCCUGCUGGCCGAGUUCAACCUGGGCUGUGAUGCCCAGCACACCGAGCAUGUCUACAGGGUGUACGUCACCACCUUCCUGGGAUUUGGCGGGAACUUUGCCCGGCAGCGCUAUGAAGACCUUGUGUUGAAUGCAACACUUCACAAAAACAGGUGGCUGGGCCAGAAGACAGGCCUAAGUCCCGAAAAUCCGUUUCUGGACCCCUGCCUGCCUGUGGGACUCACGGAUGUGGUGGAGAGGAACAGCCAAGUCCUGCAUGUUCGAGGCAGAGGAGACUGGGCGACGUGUGGGGCCAUGCUGAGCCCGCUGCUGGCUCGCUCCAACACUAGCCAAGCCUCGCUGAACGGCAUCUACCAGUCGCCAAUUGACUUCAACAACAGCGAGUUCUACGGCUUCUCGGAGUUCUUUUACUGUACCGAGGAUGUGCUGCGCAUCGGUGGCCGCUACCAUGGGCCAUCGUUUGCCAAGGCUGCUCAGGAUUACUGUGGCAUGACCUGGUCGGCCCUCACUCAGAGAUUCAAGAACGGCCUCUUUUCAUCACAUGCAGAUGAACACAGACUCAAGUAUCAGUGUUUUAAGUCGGCCUGGGUGUACCAAGUCCUUCACGAAGGGUUCCACUUUCCCUAUGACUACCCAAACCUACGGACGGCCCAGCUGGUGUAUGACCGAGAGGUGCAGUGGACACUGGGAGCCAUUCUGUAUAAAACACGAUUCUUACCACUCAGGGAUAGACGGCAGGAGGGUGUCCGGCAAAUGCACGGUGGCUGGUUUCGCCUGUCUUUUGUCUACAAUCACUAUCUCUUCUUCGCCUGCAUCCUGGUGGUGCUGCUGGCCAUCAUUCUGUACCUUCUGCGGCUGCGCCGAAUCCACCACCGACAAGCCCGAGCCUCAGCGCCACUGAACUUGCUGUGGAUUGAGGAGGUGGUGCCCAUGAUUGGGGUACAGGUGGAGCCAUGAGGCUGGACCAAGACUCGAGAAAUGUGACUCGCCCAGAGUUGCUGCUCACGGAAUUCCACCACGUUCCCGCACUGGCUUCAGGUGCUGCUUUGCCUGACCUUCUGGAUAACCGGCCGUGGGAUGUCUACUUCGAUGACAUCCAUGCACCCCGGGGCCUCUUCUCUGAGAGAAGCUAUAAUGCAAGCUGUGAAGAACUACACGCCCUGAGAGAUGGGUGCUAACACAGGGGGCCAGCUGGAGCUCCAUUGCACGCUCUAUUCCCCUGUCUGAGAGGGCCGGUCCUGGGGAUCUAGCCUUUUCUCCCCUCGCUAAAGCACCAGGUUUGGCAUUGGGCAGCACCUUGGUGGAAGCUUGAUUGAACCCAAGCCUGGAGCAUCGGACGCCAACUCAGAGACAUCGCAGGACGUGCAGCCGCCCCUUCCUUCUCUGUAACAGCGCUUUAAUUGAUGCGGAGAUCCACAGCCUUCAGUCGGGUUCCAAGAUCUUUGCCGUUCAGUGGACCAAAUCUUUGCCGUUUAAGCCACCAAAAUAGCAUACAGCUUCCUGGCUGACUUGACAAAGAAGCCACUGUGGGCAUGGCCCAAACCCUCCCACAGAGUAUUGCCCAUGGUGGUGUGUGUGUGUGUGUGUUUGUAAAAGGGGUAAAACCCCUUGUAAAUGAAUGGUCUAUCGAAGAUUCUGACAAUAACAUAUGGGGACCCUGGUAUUGCCCAUGGUGGUGUGUGUGUGUGUGUGUUUGUAAAAGGGGUAAAACCCCUUGUAAAUGGUCUAUCGAAGAUUCUGACAAUAACAUAUGGGAUCCUUGGUAAGACCAGGGCGGCAAUGAAUUCUGUGUCCAUGUGCCUCACAGGCGGGCGGUUAGGGCAUCGAGCCUUCACUGUGCUCAUAUGACGGAGCGCCGUGAUGGGGCUCCGGGCCCGGCACCGUCUAGUUUUGGGUCUCCCAGCCUCUUUUGAUGGAUAGGGAGAUUCAGUGAGCUCCUCCCCUUUACUACCAAGAUCAGUCUGCAGUCUGCGGAGGAGUGCAUGGAGCUCAUUUACAAAGACUGCAAGAGAAACAGAAGUGUGGGCAAAGGCAAUAAAAUGAAAGCUCCUAUUUAUUCAUGUUGAAGUUUUUGUUUAUGUUUGAGAGGAAUUUUUCAAUCUUUUGACUUCUGGAAUGUCUGAAAAGUUUCACAUUUUGGAACAAACGGCUCCAUCUGCUGAUGAGCUAUCUGGCAACCUUUAGAACUUCUUCUGUUAAGCCAUUGCUCAGUCACUACCUGCAUUUCCAUCAAUGGGGGGGUGGGGGGCAGCCAUCAGGAUGCCAUUUGCAUCCACCCAAAGCUCCCCUUCAGGAGAUUGGCUCCUUCCCCACAUCCAGCAUUUAAAUGGCUUGAACCGUUCCCUUCCAAGGACUCUUGUCUUUCCUGUGGAGCCUUCUGUAUCCUUCCUUCCCUUGUGCCCCCUGGGGGCCGUGGACAUCGGGCCCAGGGUGACUCCCAGAGCUGGGGUCAUCUCUGAGUGAAGAGGGUAAAGGGCCUUCUGACCUGAAAGGAAAAACAUCAUGGAAUUCUGCAACAUAGCAAUUCCACACGGAGACUGGAAAGGAAUGCCCGGCUUCACCCACCAGAGACAAAAACGGAGGUGCCGUGCGUGUCUUGCCGCUUGGUUGUAGGGGAGCCAGGAGCCUCUCUUCCCAGCAGAGGCAGGCGCACCUGGUGCCGAGGAGUGCGGUUUCUUUUGGACCUAGUCGUUCCUUUUCAUUAGAACUGUGCCACGGCGGUUUCCUUUCCGUAUUUAGACCUCGAAAUUGCCUGGAUAUUCUUUGACUUCAUAUUCUCUCUGGGUCCUGAGGCGGAGGCCCUGGCCUGAAGGAAGACGGCUUAUACAUAACGUCACAGUCCGUGUUGGCUAGCCAGUGCCCACUCAGGUAACCUUUGCCCCCCCUUGGUUUCCGAGUGCUAUUUUCUGGUUUUCUUGGGCGGAAACGGCCAAGUCAAAAUCGACCUGACAGACUGAACAGGGGUCCCAGCCUUGUGCGCCACAUGAACUUGAAGCGAGGAGGAGUUGUGAUUGACCCAAUGGCGAGAUAGCGCUUCAUAGGAGCGUUGUGGCGAGAACGCCGACCGUUUGUUCAAGCACUUCGUGUGUACCAGGCCCGCUGGAGCUGGUGUGUCCUGACAACAUGUCCAAAGUAUGUAAGAGGAAGCCUCGUCGCCAUCCGUUCCCCCAAGGCCACUCUGGCCGUGCUUCUUCCAAGAUGAAUGUUUGUCCUUUGAGCAGUGGCAUGACAGCCACUCAACCGGUAGUAUCUCAAAGCCAACGCAUGCUGUCUGUCUCUCUGUACUUUCGCUCCUUGAACUUCACUGGUCUAGGAAAUCCGAAUCACUUCCCACCAACCUCAUUUACUCUCCGGAUGUCAUCCGAAAUUCUGUCCCUCCCUCGGUCUAAGAGCGGUCUUCAAUUUCAAAGGCCGAGGGCAGUGAUGAUUGGCAAGUUGUUGACUGACUGUCUGCCCUGAACUUCCUGAAUUCGUCUUCGCAAGCACUAACAUUUAUUGUCACAUCCCCAUUUACAGUUCCUUACUGGUUUUAUCUAAACACAUACCUCCCCUCCACCCUACUUCCCCAUAGUUUUGUAGUUUGCUUUUUUUUUUUUGGUCCAGGGUGGCAGACAGACAAGUAGGUGGCAUGAUUUGGGCUUAAUGAACAGCAGACUGGGCUGCUCAUCUCGGCUUUGGUUCCCAGGAGCAUGCCACUUGCCCUCGGGCUCCCUUCUGGUCUGUAGAAUGAGGUAGCUCAACAGGAGACUCAGCGGAACUAGAGCGAGAGAGAAGAUCGAAAAGCCAUACAGUGUCUGGAAGCGGGCUCUGGUCUUUGGCUUAAAAGACCAGGCGUCCCCUAAAGCCAUUGGUCACCUCCUGUUUUAUCCAUAGCCCCUGGUAAUAAGGCUGAGGUUGAUUAGAUUUGUCCAAAUUUCUUUUAAUCCUUUAAAAAUAUUUACAUGCCUUUUUCAAAUAACGUGCUUAAUUUUGUACAGCUGGCUUCAACCACAGUUCUCUUCAGCAGGUCCUGGUGGUUACAAUUCAGCCUCACGUAAGGGAGACAUGCCUACUGGCCCUCCCGCGAUAGGAAUUUGGUGGUUAACUCCCGGGCAGUCUCCAGGCUUCUUUACAGCAACAAAGUUCCUCUCUGCCGUCUUUACAGCCCUUCUCAAAGCAAUUCAGAGCUACUAUCUGACUUUCCCUUCUUGCUGGUGGUAGGUGGUGUAGCUUUGAAUUGGGCUUAAGAAUUCCCUCCGGUCAUUCCGUUAGCUUCUCCCGGCUUCACUGUCACUGGGCCAGAUGCUUCCCUCCAACCUGCGAGGAUUUUGUUGCUGCUACAAAAGAUCAUAGUAAAACACGAGGCCUUAAAAAACGGCAAGUUUCGAUCCUUCCAAUGAAUAAACAACACAGCAGGCUUCUUCUGCUUCUCCUUUGCCAACCAGUGAACAUGCUUGAAAUCGGGUGCUUUGAGGGAUUGCCUCCCUCUCGAUGGCUCCACUCCUGUCUUCAUCAUGGUCUGGGUUGGAUCUAAACCGAAACGACGGAGGGCCUGCACCCGGGGAUCCGUCCGUCUUCUGGUUGUGGUUUCUACCUGGGGUUCUCGCACACGUGGCUUGCUACAGCUUCAUCUGAAGCCUCUUGUCUCCUUCCCAUCUCCUUUCUUACAUCCCAGGAGACUCCCUUGCAUCCUGACACCAGUUUCCCUGUUGCCUAGUGUAUCCCUAGAGCCCAGAUGACUAGUGCCCUACAUGGAGGGCCCUGAGCGCAACAGCACAGCCGUUUCCCUGGAAGUCUGCACAAUUAGAUCCUUUUGUUUGUGACAGGGACUCCUUUCUAAGGGCUUUCUACUUUUAAGGUGUAUUCAAUCAUUGCUUGUCAAUUUCAUAGAUACCAAAGUUGAGGAAAAUACCUAUGUCAUAGGUAGUUUAUAGCCAUGUGUGCAUGACUUCUGGCAAGCCCCAAGAACUCCUGAUCCUCUUCAGAGCAGGGCAGCCAUCAGGCUCCUUUUGGUGGCCGGCCACUGCUCUGCACCACGGGAGCUCUGGCAGCUCCUCCGUGGCUCCUCUCCUGAGCACCUAGGCCUGUGAAGCUGGCGCUGAUGGUUCGGAACCUUAUUAGCUUCCCAAGUGGCUUUCUCUGCAAGGAGGGACCCCGGCAAAUUGAGUUCUGGUUUUCUUGUUUAAAAUUCUUUCAGCUGUUCCCUUGUAGGCAGGUGCAGGAGCAUAUGCUGUCUCCCCUCCAUUACUCUGCUGUGAGCAGUGCGUUUUGCAGUGUAUCGGCGGCCUCUUUCUUAUUAGGAUCCAGAACCAGAGGCUCUCUCCUCACAGAAACCCCGCAGGCUGCCUGGGCUGCAGAUGCUGUGUGCGCCUGUUUCCCGUGAAACGGUGGUCCUGAACACAGCUCUUCAAGCUCGUGGUGAUGAAGACUAACUCAGUGUUGGGCAGACUAUGCAAUGCACGAGAGGCCAUGCACGAGCCCUCACGCGGGGUGUGGGCCUUGGUUUCACGCUGACACAAAACCCACCACCAGAUGACGCUUGCAGAUCAACUGGCUAUCCCAGGAGGAGGAGCGCUAGUUUGGGCCUUUGCUACCAGUAUCACUUUAGAGUUGGGGUAAUCAUGACCCCUUGUUAGUAUACAUGAACGACAAAUCUGGUUGACUGCCUUGAGAGACUGGCUAGACUAGAGCUAAAUGUAAGCAGACCCAUCUUCCCAGACGUUUUCCAUCAUAUUUAAUAAACUGAAACUUGAACUUA